rnacentral:tRNA from 1 species
AUAUUAACUUAGGCCACCAGCCCCCUUCACACGGGUGUGGUCACAGGUUCAAUCCCUGUCGCGCCCACCA